GGACUACUGGGGUAUCUAAUCCCGUUCGCUCCCCUAGCUUUCGCACCUGAGCGUCAGUGACUCGCCAGGACGCUGCCUUCGCCUUUGGUGUUCUUCCAGAUCUCUACGCAUUUCACCGCUCCACCUGGAAUUCCGCGUCCCUCUCAAGCCCUCAAGUGCAGCAGUUUCCCAAGGCCUGUGGUAGUUAAGCCACCACCUGUCACUUGUGACUUGCCGCACCGCCUGCGUGCGCUUUACGCCCAAUAAAUCCGGACAACGCUUGCCCCCUACGUAUUACCGCGGCUGCUGGCAC
rnacentral:rRNA from 1 species